rnacentral:rRNA from 1 species
GAUGAACGCUGGCGGCGUGCCUAAUACAUGCAAGUCGAGCGAACAGACGAGGAGCUUGCUCCUCUGACGUUAGCGGCGGACGGGUGAGUAACACGUGGAUAACCUACCUAUAAUACUGGGAUAACUUCGGGAAACCGGAGCUAAUACCGGAUAAUAUAUUGAACCGCAUGGUUCAAUAGUGAAAGACGGUUUUGCUGUCACUUAUAGAUGGAUCCGCGCCGCAUUAGAUAGUUGGUAAGGUAACGGCUUACCAAGGCGACGAUGCGUAGCCGACCUGAGAGGGUGAUCGGCCACACUGGAACUGAGACACGGUCCAGACUCCUACGGGAGGCAGCAGUAGGGAAUCUUCCGCAAUGGGCGAAAGCCUGACGGAGCAACGCCGCGUGAGUGAUGAAGGUCUUCGGAUCGUAAAACUCUGUUAUUAGGGAAGAACAAAUGUGUAAGUAACUAUGCACGUCUUGACGGUACCUAAUCAGAAAGCCACGGCUAACUACGUG